rnacentral:rRNA from 1 species
GACGAACGCUGGCGGCGUGCUUAACACAUGCAAGUCGAACGGAAAGGCCCUGCUUUUGUGGGGUGCUCGAGUGGCGAACGGGUGAGUAACACGUGAGUAACCUGCCCUUGACUUUGGGAUAACUUCAGGAAACUGGGGCUAAUACCGGAUAGGAGCUCCUGCUGCAUGGUGGGGGUUGGAAAGUUUCGGCGGUUGGGGAUGGACUCGCGGCUUAUCAGCUUGUUGGUGGGGUAGUGGCUUACCAAGGCUUUGACGGGUAGCCGGCCUGAGAGGGUGACCGGCCACAGUGGGACGGAGAUACGGACGAGACGCCUACGGGAGGAAGCAGUGGGGAAUAGUGCACAAGGGGCGGAAGCCUGAUGCAGCAACGCCGCGUGCGGGAGGAAGGCCUUCGGGUUGUAAACCGCUUUCGCCGGGGACGAAGGGUGAGUGACGGUAAUGGGUAAAGAAGAACCGGCUAACUACGUG